rnacentral:rRNA from 1 species
UACGUAGGGACCAAGCGUUGUUCGGAUUUACUGGGCGUACAGGGAGCGUAGGCGGUUGGAUAAGCCCUCCGUGAAAUCUCCAGGCUUAACCUGGAAAGUGCAGAGGGGACUGUUCAGCUAGAGGAUGGGAGAGGAGCGCGGAAUUCCCGGUGUAGCGGUGAAAUGCGUAGAGAUCGGGAGGAAGGCCGGUGGCGAAGGCGGCGCUCUGGAACAUUUCUGACGCUGAGGCUCGAAAGCGUGGGGAGCAAACAGG